AUGGACAGGAGGGACACUGUUCUGUUCCAUGGGCUCCUGUUGCUCUCGUUUCAAGGUGCCAGAUGUGACAUCCAGAUGACCCAGUCUCCAUCCUCCCUGCCUGCAUCUCUGGGAGACAAAUUCACCAUCAGUUGCAGCGCAAGUGAUUUGGCCUGGUACCAGUUGAAACCAGAUGGAACUACUAAACUCCUGAUCUAUUACACAUCGAAUUUACAUGCAGGAGUUCCAUCAAGGUUCAGUGGCAGUGGGUUUGGGACAGAUUAUUCUCUCACCAUCAGCAACCUGGAGUCUGAAGAUAUUGCCGCUUAUUAUUGCCAACAGUUUAAUAAACAUCCUACCACAAUGAUAGAACUCAUAACAUAA